UACGGAGGGUCCAAGCGUUCUCCGGAAUCAUUGGGUUUAAAGGGUCCGUAGGCGGUCUUGUAAGUCAGUGGUGAAAGCCCAUCGCUCAACGGUGGAACGGCCAUUGAUACUGCAAGACUUGAAUUAUUGGGAAGCAACUAGAAUAUGUAGUGUAGCGGUGAAAUGCUUAGAUAUUACAUGGAAUACCAAUUGCGAAGGCAGGUUGCUACCAAUACAUUGACGCUGAUGGACGAAAGCGUGGGGAGCGAACAGG
rnacentral:rRNA from 1 species